GCGAGAGUGGCGGAAUUGGUAGACGCGCUGGACUUAGGAUCCAGUGGCCUCGGCUGUAGGGGUUCGAGUCCCCUCUCUCGCACCA
rnacentral:tRNA from 1 species